GGGCAGCUAUUCUUAAUAGUUCAGAACAUUUUCAUUACCGACAGCCAAUUUAUACUGGAAAGUAAUAUGACGUGAAUUAAGAUGUCCAGCUUCUUUUAUUUUGUAUUCAUAAUUACAGUCUUGGAUUUGGUUAGGGCACACUCAAGCAUUACUACAGGAACCUUACAAAAAGCACAUGAAGUAGUAAAAAAACAGAGGCAAGGACGACACGCAGAAAAUUAUGAUUAUGUAGAAGAUGGAAGCGGU